UACGAAGGGGGCUAGCGUUGCUCGGAAUCAUUGGGCGUAAAGCGCGCGCAGGCGGCUCGGAAAGUCGGGUGUGAAAACUCGGGGCUCAACCCCGGGCGUGCAUCCGAUACUGCCGGGCUUGAGGCAGGUAGGGGAGAUCGGAAUUCCUGGUGUAGCGGUGAAAUGCGCAGAUAUCAGGAGGAACACCGGUGGCGAAGGCGGAUCUCUGGGCCUGUCCUGACGCUGAGGCGCGAAAGCUAGGGGAGCGAACAGG
rnacentral:rRNA from 1 species